rnacentral:rRNA from 1 species
CAGCCGUAAACUAUGCGCGUUAGGUGUAUCGGUGACCACGAGUUACCGAGGUGCCGAAGGGAAACCGUGAAACGUGCCGCCUGGGAAGUACGGUCGCAAGGCUGAAACUUAAAGGAAUUGGCGGGGGAGCACCACAACAGGUGGAGCCUGCGGUUUAAUUGGACUCAACGCCGGGAAGCUCACCGGAUAAGACAGCGGAAUGAUUGCCGGGCUGAAGACUCUGCAUGACUAGCUGAGAGGUGGUGCAUGGCGUCAGUGACU